UACAGAGGGGGCAAGCGUUGUUCGGAAUUACUGGGCGUAAAGGGUUCGUAGGUGGCUUGCUAAGUCAGACGUGAAAUCCCCAGGCUUAACCUGGGAACUGCAUCCGAUACUGGUCGGCUUGAAUCCGGGAGAGGGAUGCAGAAUUCCAGGUGUAGCGGUGAAAUGCGUAGAUAUCUGGAGGAAUACCGGUGGCGAAGGCGGCAUCCUGGACCGGCAUUGACGCUGAACAGCGAAAGCUAGGGGAGCAAACGGG
rnacentral:rRNA from 1 species